rnacentral:rRNA from 1 species
AUUGAACGCUGGCGGCAGGCCUAACACAUGCAAGCCGAGCGGGGUUUUCGGACCUAGCGGCGGACGGGUGAGUAAUGCGUAGGAAGCUACCCGAUAGAGGGGGAUACCAGUUGGAAACGACUGUUAAUACCGCAUAAUGUCUACGGACCAAAGUGUGGGACCUUCGGGCCACAUGCUAUCGGAUGCGCCUGCGUGGGGUUAGCUAGUUGGUGAGGUAAUGGCUCACCAAGGCGACGAUCCCUAGCUGGUUUGAGAGGAUGAUCAGCCGCACUGGAACUGAGACACGGUCCAGACUCCUACGGGAGGCAGCAGUGGGGAAUAUUGGACAAUGGGCGCAAGCUUGAGCCAGCCAUGCCGCGUGUGUGAAGAAGGCCUUCGGGUUGUAAAGCACUUUCAGUAGGGAGGAAGCGUUGUGUGUUAAUAGUACACAGCGUUGACGUUACCUACAGAAGAAGCACCGGCUAACUCUGUGCCAGCCGCCGCAGUAAUAC